rnacentral:rRNA from 1 species
GAGUUUGAUCCUGGCUCAGGACGAACGCUGGCGGCGUGCUAAUACAUGCAAGUCGAGCGCGGGAAGCUUGCGGAAUCCUUUCGGGAGGAAGUGAGCGGACCGAGCGGCGGACGGGUGAGUAACACGUGGGCAACCUGCCCGUAAGACGGGGAUAACCCCGGGAAACCGGGGCUAAUACCGGAUAGGUGACCUUUCUGCAUGGAGGGGUCAUGAAAGGCGGCGGAAGCCGUCGCUUACGGAGGGGCCCGCGGCGCAUUAGCUAGUUGGUGAGGGAAGGGCUCACCAAGGCGACGAUGCGUAGCCGGCCUGAGAGGGUGAACGGCCACACUGGGACUGAGACACGGCCCAGACUCCUACGGGAGGCAGCAGUAGGGAAUCUUCCGCAAUGGACGGAAGUCUGACGGAGCAACGCCGCGUGAGUGAGGAAGGCCUUCGGGUCGUAAAGCUCUGUUGUUCGUGAAGAAGGGGUUGGCCAGGAAAUGGGCCGACAUUGACGGUAGCGAACCAGAAAGCCCCGGCUAACUACGUGCCAGCAGCCGCGGUAACACGUAGGGGGCAAGCGUUGUCCGGAAUGAUUGGGCGUAAAGGGCGCGCAGGCGGCCUCUUAAGUCUGAUGUGAAAGCCCACGGCUCAACCGUGGAGGGACAUUGGAAACUGGGGGGCUUGAGUGCAGGAGAGGGGAGUGGAAUUCCACGUGUAGCGGUGAAAUGCGUAGAGAUGUGGAGGAACACCAGUGGCGAAGGCGGCUCUCUGGCCUGUGACUGACGCUGAGGCGCGAAAGCGUGGGGAGCGAACAGGAUUAGAUACCCUGGUAGUCC